rnacentral:lncRNA from 1 species
AUCCAGAAUAAGAAUUAAAUGUUGAUUCUACCCGUGACUUAUAAUUUCAGAUUACAGGAAUCAAGGCAUUGACCCGUAUCUUCUUGGCAGAACAAAUAGGCAGCCAUUCUCAAGUUGUUUCUCUCUGCUUUGUAAAUGCUGUCUUUUCAUUGAGGAAAUAUUCAUGAGUCUGUCUGAUCUGCAUGGAUAAAGAACACCAAGAAUAUGGAGAAGGAUGCAUGCUAGAAGCUGUGGGAACAGAAAUCAAGGUCCCUAUGGAAGAGACUGCUACUGAACUCAUGGAAGUGUUCGAUCCCAAAUAGAGGAAGUCAUAGCAACAAGAGCUAUUCAUCUUUCAUCUUUCAGCAACUCCUCAUGUUCUCGUCAUCAUCAUCUGAAUAUCAAAACAAUCCAGCUGAGCAGAAGGUUCAC